rnacentral:rRNA from 1 species
CCUACGGGUGGCUGCAGUGGGGAAUAUUGCACAAUGGGGGAAACCCUGAUGCAGCGACGCCGCGUGGGUGAAGAAGUUUUUCGGUACGUAAAGCUCUAUCGGCAGGGAAGAAAAUUACGGUACCUAACUAAUAAGCCCCGGCUACCUCCGUGCCAGCCGCCGCGGUAAUACGGAGGGGGCAAGCGUUAUCCGGAUUUACUGGGUGUAAAGGGCGCGUAGACGGGAGAGCAAGUCUGAAGUGAAAUCCCAUGGCUUAACCAUGGAACUGCAUUUGAAACUGUGAAGCUGGAGUGCAGGAGAGGUAAGUGGAAUUCUUAGUGUAGCGGUGAAAUGCGUAGAUAUGAGGAGGAACACGAGUGGCGAAGGCGGCUUACUGGACUGUAACUGACGCUGAGGCUCGAAAGCGUGGGGAGCAAACAGGAUUAGAUACCCUUGUAGUC